rnacentral:rRNA from 1 species
AGAGUUUGAUCCUGGCUCAGGAUGAACGCUAGCGACAGGCUUAACACAUGCAAGUCGAGGGGCAGCGGUGGUGAAGGCUUGCCUUUACCAGCCGGCGACCGGCGCACGGGUGAGUAACACGUAUGCAACCUGCCUGCCACAGCCGGAUAAUCGGGAGAAAUUCCGUCUAAUACGGCAUAAUGCAUCGACGGGACAUCCUGUUGGUGCCAAAGGUUGAUUCCGGUGGCGGAUGGGCAUGCGUCGCAUUAGUUAGUUGGCGGUGUAACGGACCACCAAGACGACGAUGCGUAGGGGUUCUGAGAGGAAGGUCCCCCACACUGGUACUGAGACACGGACCAGACUCCUACGGGAGGCAGCAGUGAGGAAUAUUGGUCAAUGGGCGGGAGCCUGAACCAGCCAAGUCGCGUGAGGGAUGACGGCCCUAUGGGUUGUAAACCUCUUUUGCCGGGGAGCAAAGUGCCGCACGUGUGCGGUUUGGAGAGUACCCGGAGAAAAAGCAUCGGCUAACUCCGUGCCAGCAGCCGCGGUAAUACGGAGGAUGCGAGCGUUAUCCGGAUUUAUUGGGUUUAAAGGGUGCGUAGGCGGACGCUUAAGUCAGCGGUAAAAUUGCGGGGCUCAACCUCGUCGAGCCGUUGAAACUGGGUGCCUUGAGUGGGCGAGAAGUACGCGGAAUGCGUGGUGUAGCGGUGAAAUGCAUAGAUAUCACGCAGAACUCCGAUUGCGAAGGCAGCGUACCGGCGCCCAACUGACGCUGAAGCACGAAGGCGUGGGUAUCGAACAGGAUUAGAUACCCUGGUAGUCCACGCAGUAAACGAUGAAUGCUAGUUGUCCGGGGCGAUUGAGUUCUGGGUGACACAGGGAAAGCGUUAAGCAUUCCACCUGGGGAGUACGCCGGCAACGGUGAAACUCAAAGGAAUUGACGGGGGCCCGCACAAGCGGAGGAACAUGUGGUUUAAUUCGAUGAUACGCGAGGAACCUUACCCGGGCUCAAACGCAGGAGGGAUGUUUUUGAAAGGAGGCAGCCAGCAAUGGUCUCCUGCGAGGUGCUGCAUGGUUGUCGUCAGCUCGUGCCGUGAGGUGUCGGCUUAAGUGCCAUAACGAGCGCAACCCCUACCUACAGUUGCCAUCGCGUGAUGGCGGGCACUCUGUGGGGACUGCCUGCGCAAGCAGUGAGGAAGGCGGGGAUGACGUCAAAUCAGCACGGCCCUUACGUCCGGGGCGACACACGUGUUACAAUGGCAGGUACAGCGGGAAGCCACCCGGCGACGGGGCGCGGAACCCGAAAACCUGUCUCAGUUCGGAUUGGAGUCUGCAACCCGACUCCAUGAAGCUGGAUUCGCUAGUAAUCGCGCAUCAGCCACGGCGCGGUGAAUACGUUCCCGGGCCUUGCACACACCGCCCGUCAAG